UAUGUAAGAAGCCACUUGUUCAGUGCACUCUGCAAAGCAAAAAUGGAAACAAGCUAUUACUUUGUUUUGUGUUUACAUCCUGACAUUUCUAAACAGAAGAAGAAUGUAGAACACUUGUGGAAGAGAUGCUUUUCUCUUAAAUUUGCAAGAAAUAACAAAUGAGAAGUUUGAUUAUGAUGAAUUCGAUUGGGUAAUCAUACAUUAUACGAGAAACAGUCUGAACAAAUAAACAUCUCCAGAGAGUUGGACAUUGUACCUAGUAAAAUCCUAUAAACAAAAUACUUUCCUGAAGAAAGAAAUGUCACAAACAUUUCUGUACCACUUGGACUACUGAUGGACUAUAUUAGAUAAAUCAUCAAGAGUACAAUGAACAGAGAAGCAACUAGUGAAAAAAAUGACUUCUCUUUCCUGGGCUGUCAUUGCUGAAGUCAUUGCUUUAUUUAAUUUAAAAAAAAAAAAGACUGAUAAUAGAAAGACGCUUCAUCACAGAUAAGGUGUGCCCACAGCUACAGUCCUUGAGCCUACUGCAUCCAGGAUCAAUGCCCAGCAUUGAGGAAGGCAGCCUUCUGUAAGUCAUGGAUCGACGGUUGACCACCAUCAACAAAAGUUGUGAGUAUGAAGAAAAUAUUCAAUGAUUUCAAAUGAAGCUUUCAAGCUUUCUGAGACACGAUCCUUUGGAACAUCAGCAGUAUCACUGGCAAUUAUGGGAAGAAGAAGGAAUAACAUGACCCUCUGCUUCAGCACAUUUUUGAUCCCAACUCAAAGAAGUUUUUUAUUUUGGACACACAGUCCUGAUGACUCGACUGAUAUCAAUCAUGACACUGCAGACAUUUUGUGGAGGAGAUCUUCAGGGAGGAAGUGAGGAGAGAACAGACUUUGAGUAUAGAGUAGAAAUAUAUCAAGUAGAAAGGCAAGAAAGAAUUAAUUUCCAUCAUAUACCGAUGCAAUAUACUGCCUUUUCACACCGCAGGAGUAAAAAAAAGUAAGUAAGAGGGAACUAUUUCUAAAAGCACUCAUUCUCAAUGAACUGAGUGGAAAUACUCAGAAUCAGGGCUGCUCGUUUACUGGAAUGAGUGGUUAU